rnacentral:rRNA from 1 species
ACAACUUUCAACAACGGAUCUCUUGGCUCUCGCAUCGAUGAAGAACGCAGCGAAAUGCGAUACGUAAUGUGAAUUGCAGAAUUCAGUGAAUCAUCAAAUCUUUGAACGCACCUUGCGCCCCUUGGCAUUCCGAGGGGCACACCCGUUUGAGUGACGUGA